rnacentral:rRNA from 1 species
AGUGAACGCUGGCGGCAGGCCUAACACAUGCAAGUCGAGCGGCAGCGGGUCCUUCGGGAUGCCGGCGAGCGGCGGACGGGUGAGGAAUGCAUCGGAAUCUGCCCUGUCGUGGGGGAUAACCUAGGGAAACUUAGGCUAAUACCGCAUACGACCCACGGGUGAAAGCGGGUGAUCGCAAGACCUCGCGCGAUAGGAUGAGCCGAUGUCCGAUUAGCUAGUUGGCGGGGUAAAGGCCAACCAAGGCGACGAUCGGUAGCUGGUCUGAGAGGAUGAUCAGCCACCCUGGGACUGAGACACGGCCCAGACUCCUACGGGAGGCAGCAUUGGGGAAUAUUGAGCAAUGGGCGCAAGCCUGAUCCAGCCAUGCCGCGUGGGUGAAGAAGGCCUUCGGGUUGUAAAGCCCUUUUGUCCGGGAAGAAUUCGUCUGGGCUAAUACCCCGGGCGGAUGACGGUACCGGAAGAAUAAGCACCGGCUAACUUCGUG